AAAUCAAAAAUGAAACAUCGACUAUCUUUGGGAACUGAGAGAGUAUAUAUUAUUUAUGAUUUAAAUAUAAAGGAAUAAAAUUAUGUUGAUGUGUUUAUACUAUUAUAGGAUACUAUAGAACACUAAUCGACUUAUUAUAAUUUAAGUAAACCAAUUUUUUGUACUAUGGACAUAUUAAACUUAUCAACAACCUAUUUAAAUUGCAUUCUAAAACAAAUUCAGUUAUGGUGCCAUUUUUAUAUUAUUUUAUCAAUGGAUCCCGUAUCAGACAUCUAUUCACCUCCUGCUUUGCUUCCUACACCAGAAGGACAGUCAAAUAGUCCUUCUAUGAGUUUCACUCCUGAGCAAUAUCACAAGCUACUGUCCUUAAUUCAGGAAACCUCUGCUCCUUAAUCGUUAAUACAUCAUGUCUCUGUUGCAUUUGUUCAACAACAAACAACAACUGCAAUUGGAAAAUCUGCUAUGGCUAAUAAUUCUUCGAUCAUCAAUCAAGGUUCAGGUAUAUCUUUUAACUCAUUGCCUUUCUCCAAUAAUAACCCAUGGAUUUUAGACACAGGUGCAGCAGAUCACAUAUCUGUUUCCUUGUCAGCCUUCACCAUUUACAAAAGAAUCAAACCUAUAACUGUCAAACUCCCCAGUGGUGCACAUGUUGUUUCUCAUUUUUCUGGCACUAUCAUUUUCAAUUCUGAUUUCUAUUUAGUUGAUGUGCUUUACAUUCCUAAUUUCACUUUUAAUCUCAUAUCUGUUACCAAGCUUAUUUCCACAUUGAAUUGUAGCUUAAACUUUCAAAAUACCUCUUGUUUCAUUCAGGCACCUCAUUCUUGGAAGAUGAUUGGUUCAACUAAGAUGCAAGAGAGAUUGUAUGUGUUACUCCAUCUUCAACUUCCAACAUCAACUUCCUUUGCCUUUAAUACUACUGCUUCACAUAUUCAACAAUCACAGUUAUUGCAUUACAGACUUGGCCAUGUUUCUAGCUUUAGACUUUCUGUUUUACAUAAAAUUUUUCCUUCCAUUCCUUGUAAUAUAGAUUCAAGUUCUUGUGACAUCUAUCAUUAUGCUAAACAAAAGAAAUUACCUUUCUCUGUUAGCAAAUCUGUCUCUUCUAAACCAUUUCAAUUACUUCAUGUUGAUAUAUGGGGUCCAUUAUCCAUUACAUCUAUUAAUGGACACAUAUUUUCUUACCAUUGUUGAUGAUCACACUAGGCACACAUGGAUUUUUCUAAUGAAACAUAAAUCAGAAACAAGACAACAUCUACAAUCCUUUAUCUCAUUCAUAGAAAACAAAUUUCACACCAAAAUUCAAACCAUACGAUCUGAUAAUGGUCCAAAAUUCCUCAUGUCUUCUUUUUAUAAUUCUAAAGGAAUUUUGCAUCAAACCACUUAUGUGGAAACCCCACUAACAAAAUGCCAUUGUAGAGCGAAAGCACCAACACAUUUUAAACAUAGUCCGAGCUUUGAUAUUUCAAUCCCAUUUACCCUAAAUUUUUUGGUCUUAUGCUGUUUCAUCAUGCAAUCUUCCUUUUAAAUAGAACCCCUACACCCAUUUUACAAGAUAAGUCUCCAUUUGAAAUGCUUUAUCACACUAUCCCCAAUUAUGCUAACUUCAAAGUUUUUGGCUUCCUGUGUUUUGCCUCAACUUUAGCAGCUCAUAGAACCAAGUUAGCACUAAGGGCCCACAAAUGCAUCUUUUUAGGCUAUAAUCUUGGGUCAAGGUUUAUAUUCUCAUGGAUCUAGCUACUAGAGAGAUUUUUCUUUCUAGAGAUGUCCAAUUCUCAAAACACAUUUUCCUAUUCUCUUCUCAUGUUACUUCUGAUUUUUCUUUUUCACAGCCUGUAGACACUUCUCUUCCAAAUUCUGAUUACCCAGAUUAUAAUUCUCUCUCACCUAAUCUCACUUCUUCUCCAUUACCCCCUUCUCAGCCAAAUCCCCCAUCCAUUAUUCCAUCUUCAUAAACCCAACAACCCCUUAGACGUUCAAAUCGAAUAAGAUCAACUCCAGCUUACCUCGAUGACUAUCACUGCAAUUUCUCUGCUUCAACUGAGUCUACAUCAUCUUCCAAAGUCAGGUACCCCCUUUCUUCUGUUCUUUCCUAUAAAAAAUUAUCUCCUUCUUGUUUCCAUUACAUUCUUAGCAUAUCAUCUAUAUCUGAACCAAAAACUUACAUAUAAGCUAUCAAAAGUGAACAAUGGAGAAAUGCUAUGGCUGCUGAGAUUGCAGCUCUUGAAUCAAAUAAUACCUGGACCUUAGUUGAUUUACCACCUGGCGAAACCCCCAUUGGCUGUAAAUGGGUAUAUCAGAUUAAGUAUAAAUCGGAUGGAAGCAUUGAGAGAUUUAAAGCCCCGCUUGUAGCCAAAGGCUAUACACAGAUUGAGGGCAUUGAUUACUUGGACACCUUCUCUCCCGCUGCAAAAAACGACAACUAUUAGAUUGUUAUUAGCUUUAGCAUCUGUCAAUCAAUGGUAUCUCAAGCAAUUAGAUGUUAACAAUGCGUUUUUACAUAGGGAUCUGAAGGAGGAAGUUUAUAUGAACUUACCACUUGGUUAACAUUCAUCUGAUUCUUCUAAGGUUUGGAAAUUAGAAAAAUCUCUCUAUGGCCUUAAACAGGCCAGUCGGCAAUGGUUUUUUAAAUUGUCUCAAGCUCUUAUUGGUUGUGGCUACUCUGAAUCUCAGUCUGAUCAUUCUUUAUUUACUCAUAAAGUUGGUUCUCCAUUUACAGCUAUUCUAGUUUAUAUUGACGAUGUAAUCUUAGCAGGUAAUGAUCUUCAAAAGCUUAAUCGAAUCAAAUCCUUUCUUGAUAUCACUUUCAAGAUUAAGGAUUUAGGUGACUUAAAGUUCUUCUUGGGCCUUGAAAUUGCAAGUUCUAAGUUUGGUAUUUCAGUUUGUCAGCGCAAAUAUGCUUUGAAAAUUUUAGCAGAUACUGGUUAUCUAGCCUUUAAACUAGCAAUCACACCCAUGGAUUCUCAUUUUAAAUUGAGCGUUGUUUGUGAAUCUUUGCCAGAUAUUUCAUCUUAUCGUCACCUCAUUGGCCGAUUAUUGUCCCUCACUACUAGGAGGCCUGACUUGUCUUUUACUGUUAAUCACUCAGCCAAUUCUGUUGUGGGGUCCCUUCGACGUGUGGGACCCACAUAAGUUUGAAAGAUAAAAAAAGAGAAGAAGAUAUGUGGUGUCGUGGACACACACAAGUUUGA
rnacentral:lncRNA from 1 species